rnacentral:rRNA from 1 species
UGCGUAGGUGGUUUCUUAAGUCAGAGGUGAAAGGCUACGGCUCAACCGUAGUAAGCCUUUGAAACUGGGAAACUUGAGUGCAGGAGAGGAGAGUGGAAUUCCUAGUGUAGCGGUGAAAUGCGUAGAUAUUAGGAGGAACACCAGUUGCGAAGGCGGCUCUCUGGACUGUAACUGACACUGAGGCGCGAAAGCGUGGGGAGCGAACA